AGUUGAACACUGCCCGGCACACAGCAAGCCCUCAUUAAAUACUCUUUGAAUGAGUAGAUGGUAACAGCUGAUAUCCCUCAAUCAUAGGGUUUAUACAAACUUCUGCCUGAAUUUAGAAUUUUCUCCCCCAGACUUGGUCCUCUUCCAGGGAUCCUUCUCCCAGCAAACAGCACCACCAUCUAGCCGUUUGCACAACCAGAGAACUAGGAGUCACCAUCCGCUCGCUUCCUCCCACACAUCGUGUCCAGCGCAUGCCCAAGGCUGUCUCUCAAAUCUUUCUUUCCAUCCCCGGUGACCCUGGCCCACGUUCAGAUGGCGUUCUCACCUCAACCGCUGCAAGAGCGCCCUCCCUGGUCGGCCCCCAGCCCUGAAGCGGGGUCCCCUCCCCAUGCUGCAGCCCGCGGGGGUGGGGUGGGGGGUGUCUCCGGUUCUCACCAGGCCCCCGGCCUCCUGAAACCCCUUAAUGUUCAUUCCUUUGGGGCUAAAGUCCCAACUCAGACACAGCCUGGCUUCCUCCUGCCUCGUCUCUCACACACCACCCCCUCUCGCCUCGGAGUCUCGCAGCCGCCCCUCCACUGACCUUCCCGAAGUCCCUCCAGCCGCAGGACCUCCCUCCGCCUGCGACCUCUCACCUCAGGCCUCAGCCCCGCCUCGCUCUUGCUAAGGCUCCUCCGACGACCACCACGACCAAGUCGGAUUCCCCCCCGCAGAGGCUCUUGUAGCAACACCUGCUUUUCCUUCGUGGCCCCGGGGGCUCUUACGCAGAUCUACGUCUGCUUCUGAGUUGGUUCUGUCACCCCUGACUCGGGCCCUUGGAUCUUUGAAUCCACAGAUAUUGAUAAGAGGCCAGGAAUUCACACAAGGCUUUAGUGGGGCUCGUGCUGCAGCAGAGAAUGAAAACACAGAGCAGGUGCCCUGCGUGCUCCGAGGACGGUGGGCUGGUCAAUUCAAUAGCGUGGGGGGAGGAUGGGUGGGUCAGGCAGGAAGGGUGGCUUAGGCGGCCUCCCUGCGCCCCCCCCCCCCCAGUGGUGCUGUGUGCAGGGACCACACGCAGUGCCCUGCUUUUGCUCUGGGCACCUCCAAAAUGGCAGUUUGUUUGUAGGGGGGUUUUUGUAUCCGAUGGUUCCUCGUUGCCCAGAGGGCAGGCCCUUAUAGUGUCUGCCUUCUGCUGCUGGAGGUGACAGGUGUCCAGGAGCAGGCACUCCAGUCAAGGGUCCCGGGCCCCAGCCUGUCUCAGUUUGGUUGUCCAUCCGUCUGCAAGCCUGGCGUCUGUUUUUUUGGUCGUCGUCCAUCUCUGCCGUCCCUCCACUGCCCAGCCAGGGAUGGCAGAGUGUGUUUUCAACAAAUGUGUGUUCAAUUUAUUUCAGGAACUAGUUGAUUAAUCAAUAAAUUCACAUGUCACCCAGAUUACUGUCAACCUCCUCGGGCAGGGCCCCGCCUUAAUGCACCACCACAGGCCGCCGGCAGCCAGGGCACCCGUGGGGCUGAGCCUGGGGAAGAGUGUAAGGAACAUUCCGAGGGACAGUGACCUCCGGGGGGUGAGGGUGGGCGUGUAACUCCUGUGAGGGGGUGAGGCAAGCAGGACAGGAAAGGGCAAGAGCUGAGGACAUGAAUCACGGAUUGUACUGAAGCGAUGUCCUAUUUUGAGGCAAGAGGACCCAGCUUUUGUGUGUAUGUCAUUUAUUUAUUUAUCUGUCUUUUAAGGGCCGCACUCACAGCACAUGGAGAUGCCCAGGCUAGGGGUUCAAUCGGAGCUACAGCCACCCGGCCUCCACCACAGCCACAACAAGAGGGGAUCCAAGCUGUGUCUGCGACCUACACCACAGCUCACAGCAAUGCCGGAUCCGUAACCCACUGAGUAAGGCCAGGGAUCGAACCUGUGUCCUCAUGGAUGCCAGUCAGAUUCGUUUCCGCUGAGCCACGACGGGAGCGCCAUGUGUGUGUGUCUCAGAUGGUCUUCAGUGGCUAAGUGUCCCGCCAAGUGGCCCCAAGACUUCAAGGGGGAAACGAGUCGCCGUCUCGUCCUCUCCACUGCAUCCACCCUGUGAGGGGAGGUACCCUGCCCCCUGCCUCACCUGCUGUGCCCUUUCCUAACAAAGCGCCACAAACCGGGAGGCUUCGAACAACAGAAAUGGAUUGUCCAGCUGCAGCUGCGCUGGAUCCUGUUAACCCACUGCGCCGCCGAAGUCAGAUUCUUAACCCACUGAGCCGCAGCGGGAACUCCACCGGUGAUAAGUUUCAACUGGUUCGAUGAUGAUAGAACAUGAAUUCAGUUCUCUCUCUCGGGCCUUCUUUUAUACGCCGCUUCCUGGUGAGAUCAUCUUGCCUCCCAGAACCUGCUGGGGUUUGGGAAGCCGAUUUGUUUUGACUGAUGCUCAGAGCUGGUCACGCCAGCGUGAUCCUACCGUGGACAUGGUUUCCUCUGAUGGGAGGCCGACUGCUGGUCACGCCGGCAUGGUUUUGCAGAGAAGAUGAUUUUCUUCCACCGAAUGGGGUAACUCGUGCGUGACCAGGAUCACUGCAGAGACACGCCUCAAGAUGUGCAGGUUGGCCCCAGCCGCCUCGGAGGACGCAGUCACUCGGGCGGACUCAGAGAGCCUAACAUUUCAUUUAAGCAGUCCGUAAAUUCUGCUGUGUGCCUACUCUGUCUUAGGCUCUGUGUUGGGCACCAUACGCUCCCCUCAAGGAGCUCACAUUUUAUGGGGGAAGAAAAACCAUUGCAACCAAUGGGCUCAGGGCUUCAAGGGAACCGUCGGUUGCCGAGGAGGAGGGGGGCAGGGGAGGGAAGCUGGGAGUUUGGGAUUCACAGAGGCACAGCAGAAAUGACAAGGGCCUACUGUGGCUCCAAUUCCACCCCUAGCCUGGGAACUGCCAUAUGCUGAAGGUGUGGCCCUCAAAAGCAGAAAGUAAACAAACAAAGCGCUAAAAUACCACUAACCGAGACUUCAGUAGCUGCAAAAGCAUCCUUCAAGGAUAAAGGGAAAACAAAGAUAUUCUCAAACUAAUAAAGCCAGAAGAAUUCGCCAUCAGCACAUCUGCACAAAAGGGAAUGCGCCAAGAGUGUUUUCAGGCGGAAAGGAUGGUUCCAGAUGGAAGCCAGAAGAUAACACAUCAACAACAGAGGCAGAUUAAUAAAGAGAGGAGGUCCCGUUGUGGUGCAGUGGAAAGGAACCCAACUAGGAACCAUGAGGCUGCAGGUGCGAUCCCGGGCCUCCCUCAGUGGGUUAAGGAUCCGGCGUUGCCGUGAGCUGUGGUGUAGGUCACAGAUGCGCCUCGGAUCUGGCAUUGCUGUGGCUGUGGUCUAGGCCAGUGGCUACAGCUUCGAUUAGACCCCCAGACUGGGAACCUCCAUAUGCCGCAGGUGCGGCUCUAAAAGAUAAAAAGCCAAAAAAAAAAAAAAAAAAGACUAGAUUUUACCCUCCUGCCUGAAAGAGCCGCAACAAUAAAACUGGACAAAACGAAUGACAUAAAGGUUUUCGGGGCACUGGGUAUGGUGAAUGGGAUCCUAAGAUAGGCAGAAAAUAUGCAAAUCCUACCACGGUCCCUACAGCGGGGCGGGAGAGGGGCAGGGUUUCCCGGCCACCCCACAGGCCGAGUGAACCCAGAUGAAGCCUGGAAGUGCCCCUGAAUUGAGGAGCUGGGUCUGGGAGUCUGAACAGGCCAGCUGGCGAGCGCGCACAGGGCAGAGGGCUAGAGAUGAAAGAGCUGCAGAGAGAGAGGAGUGUGGGGCUUUGCAGAGGGUCCCCCUCAUUGUUCAGCUGCGUCUUGAUCAACACGUGCUUUGGAGUCCCGACUCUGCCACUUCCUAGCAGUCAGCGUGGCUGUUCCGAGCACCUGCCCUGUGCCAGAUUCUGAAGGCGGACAUGCGAAACGGGAGCUGAGGCAGAUCUGCUCCUGCCCUUCCGGGGCUCUGGGUGCACGUGAGGAGAGAUGCUGCCUGCACCCAGCAGGCACAACCACCCAGGUGUCUAAGCUGAGAGCCAGAGGAACGGUUCAGGGCGGAUGUGAAGAGAAAAGAGGGUGGCUGUUCUAACCUGCACGGCCCCUCCCCACCCUUGACCCCAGCACGGCGCGGAUGUGGAGGGGCAGUGGUGUGGGAGACACAGACCGGCUCCCCAGGUCUAGGGGGCAGUGUGAGUCCUAGGUGGGGCCUGAGGAAGCAAAGCCUGCCCCCCCGCCCCCGAGGAAGUGGGGAGACCCUGGACCAGGACCUGGGAGGUGCUCCCCAUCCCUGCUCCGCCGCUGGAUGGUUGUGUGGGCUUAGAGGUCUCUGCCCUUUCCUGGUCCCAGUUCCCUCAUCUGACCGG
rnacentral:lncRNA from 1 species